ACUGCUUAGAGAGAAAGAAACCAUAUCGAGUUUAACGCAUAGUUAUUUUGUCUUGUUUCACGUUGUUGUUUUGUAAUGUGGAGCUGAACUUGAUCCUGACAGCCACGUAGAGACCACACAGACGUUAUGGAACAUGCAGAGAACAGCAGCGAGGUCACAGGAAGGCCAGGUACCCAUCUCCUCUGCUAAUCGGCUCAGCAGCGAGUGAGGUAGCCUCCUGUGGCAGUCGGCGUCUGGAUGAACAGUAAGGAACAUGGUCUGCAUGUUCUCUCGGCCACCACCCGCCUUCCCUGGUCUGCGAACAAGAACCACCAAUCAGCAUCUAUUCAUGUAACACCGGGAAGAUGAAUGAAGUGUGGAUUUUUUGAUCAAGAGUGGCCACAUGUUUCUCAACUGAUUCAUUAUCGAUGUGGGUAGACCAACUGGCUUCAUAAUUUAGGUAAGAG